rnacentral:rRNA from 1 species
UAGCAGUCGAGCGAACAGAUAAGGAGCUUGCUCCUUUGACGUUAGCGGCGGACGGGUGAGUAACACGUGGAUAACCUACCUAUAAGACUGGGAUAACUUCGGGAAACCGGAGCUAAUACCGGAUAACAUAUUGAACCGCAUGGUUCAAUAGUGAAAGGCGGCUUUGCUGUCACUUAUAGAUGGAUCCGCGCCGUAUUAGCUAGUUGGUAAGGUAACGGCUUACCAAGGCAACGAUACGUAGCCGACCUGAGAGGGUGAUCGGCCACACUGGAACUGAGACACGGUCCAGACUCCUACGGGAGGCAGCAGUAGGGAAUCUUCCGCAAUGGGCGAAAGCCUGACGGAGCAACGCCGCGUGAGUGAUGAAGGUCUUCGGAUCGUAAAACUCUGUUAUCAGGGAAGAACAAAUGUGUAAGUAACUGUGCACAUCUUGACGGUACCUGAUCAGAAAGCCACGGCUAACUACGUGCCAGCAGCCGCGGUAAUACGUAGGUGGCAAGCGUUAUCCGGAAUUAUUGGGCGUAAAGCGCGCGUAGGCGGUUUUUUAAGUCUGAUGUGAAAGCCCACGGCUCAACCGUGGAGGGUCAUUGGAAACUGAAAAACUUGAGUGCAGAAGAGGAAAGUGGAAUUCCAUGUGUAGCGGUGAAAUGCGCAGAGAUAUGGAGGAACACCAGUGGCGAAGGCGACUUUCUGGUCUGUAACUGACGCUGAUGUGCGAAAGCGUGGGGAUCAAACAGGAUUAGAUACCCUGGUAGUCCACGCCGUAAACGAUGAGUGCUAAGUGUUAGGGGGUUUCCGCCCCUUAGUGCUGCAGCUAACGCAUUAAGCACUCCGCCUGGGGAGUACG